GGGGUUGUGGCUCAGUGGUCGAGCACUUGCCUAGUGCCUAGAGGCUCUGGGUUCAGUUCUCAGCACCACA
rnacentral:tRNA from 1 species